rnacentral:sRNA from 1 species
GGGGGCGAACGGUCUCGACUGGGUGGGAAGAAGCGAGGCUGCGAGCCGAGGUGCCAGGUCCUCGUUAAUCAACUGGCAUGGCGAUAAACGCCAACCAUCAGUACGCUCUCGCCGCUUAAGUAGCGACGACGUCUCCCCGGGACCGCCGGCGGCCCGGGUGAGGCUUCACCAGCCGGCUACCGACACGGGUCCUGGCCCGGGGCGCGUGUCGGGAAUCGCAACGGGCUGGCGGCCGGCGGAUCCGGUCUGCGGGAGCCGGCGGCUGCGAGACACAAAACGCAGGCUACGCUCGUAGACGCCUGGCCCUCAUCCACUCAGGACGCGGGUUCGAUUCCCGCCGCCUCCACCA